rnacentral:lncRNA from 1 species
CUUGGUUAUUGUUAUUGCUGUAUUGGAUAUUCAUGGAGGAGGUGAAUAUGAAACAAUGUUCUUUUUAUUUUUUUUGAGACAGGGUCUCCGUCUGUCACCCAGCCUGGAAUGCAGUGGAGUGAUCAUGGCUCACUGCAGCCUCAACCUCCCAGGCUUAAGUGAUCCUCCCAUCUCAGCCUCCCUAGUAGCUGAGACUACAGGCAUGCAUCACCAUGCCCGGCUAAUUUUUGUAUUUUUUGUAGAGACGAGGUCUCACCAUGUUGCCCAGGCUGGGCUUGAACUCCUGGCCUCAAGCAGUCCUCCCACCUCAGCCACUGAAAGUGCUGGGAUCACAGGCGUGAGCCACUGUGCCAGGCCUGAAACAAUUUUCAAGGAAGAAUGAGAAGUAGUCUUUGGGAUACCUUGGGUUAAUAUUUCUGACAAAUAAGUUGGAAUCUAGAAAGAUAUACUCUCACUUGUAAGUUACAGCAAAAUCUGGUUUGUUGUUCCAAGAUUAUUGAUAUUCUGUGGAGUGAUCCCAGAGGCAAAAACGGCUGUUUUCCAAAUACGGGCCGAGGAGGGGGCUGCUAUUUUGGACCAGAUGUUACUUCCAAGAUUCUUAAUAAAUACCAGUUGAAGAUGCUCAUCAGGUCUCAUGAAUGUAAGCCCGAAGGGUAUGAAAUCUGUCAUGAUGGGAAGGUUGUGACUAUAUUUUCUGCUUCUAAUUAUUAUGAAGAAGGCAGCAAUCGAGGAGCUUACAUCAAACUAUGUUCUGGUACAGCUCCUCGAUUUUUCCAGUACCAAGUAACUAAAGCAACGUGCUUUCAGCCUCUUCGCCAAAGAGUGUAUACUAUGGAAAGCAGCGCCAUCAAGAUAUUAAAAGAGAGAGUGAUUUCACGAAAAAGUGACCUUACUCGUGCUUUCCAACUUCAAGACCACAGAAAAUCAGGUAACAAAUUUCUAUAACAUUUACAAUUUCUUAACACAGCAAGUUACAUACAGAUCACUUUUCAUUUUC